rnacentral:rRNA from 1 species
CAGCCGCCGCGGGAACACGAAGGGUGCAAGCGUUACUCGGAAUUACUGGGCGUAAAGCGUGCGUAGGUGGUGGUUUAAGUCCGUUGUGAAAGCCCUGGGCUCAACCUGGGAAUUGCAGUGGAUACUGGGUCACUAGAGUGUGGUAGAGGAUAGUGGAAUUUCCGGUGUAGCAGUGAAAUGCGUAGAGAUCGGAAGGAACAUCUGUGGCGAAGGCGACUAUCUGGGCCAACACUGACACUGAGGCACGAAAGCGUGGGGAGCAAACAGGAUUAGAUACCCCGGUAGCCUGUCUCUUAUACAC